GAUGAACGCUGGCGGCGUGCCUAACACAUGCAAGUCGAGCGAUUUACUUCGGUAAAGAGCGGCGGACGGGUGAGUAACGCGUGGGUAACCUGCCUCAUACACAUGGAUAACAUACCGAAAGGUAUGCUAAUACAAGAUGAUAUAAGAGAUUCGCAUGGAUUUCUUAUCAAAGCUCCGGCGUUAUGAGAUGGACCCGCGUCUGAUUAGCCAGUUGGUAAGGUAACGGAUUACCAAGGCGACGAUCAGUAGCCGACCUGAGAGGGUGAUCGGCCACAUUGGAACUGAGACACGGUCCAAACUCCUACGGGAGGCAGCAGUGGGGAAUAUUGCACAAUGGGCGAAAGCCUGAUGCAGCAACGCCGCGUGAGCGAUGAAGGCCUUCGGGUCGUAAAGCUCUGUCCUCAAGGAAGAUAAUGACGGUACUUGAGGAGGAAGCCCCGGCUAACUACGUGCCAGCCGCCGCCGUAA
rnacentral:rRNA from 1 species